rnacentral:rRNA from 1 species
GGGUACGCGGGGCUGACGGCUGGGGGUAUUAGGAGGUGUCAUGAGUUGGUCGGAUGCACUUGGCUGCAAGGUUGCGGAGGGUGUGUGGUGAGUCGGAUGUGAAAGUUCCGAGCUUAAGUCGGAAAUGGAAUUGGAAACUACCCUGCGUGAGGGGCUGAGGGGGGACUGGAAUUCGUGGUGUAGCAGGGAAAUGCGUAGAUAUCGAGAGGAACACCAGUGGCGAAGGCGAGUCCCUGGACGACUCCUGACACUGAGGCACGAAAGCUAGGGGAGCAAACAGGAUUAGAUACCCCAGUAGUC